GGGCCCGCACAAGCGGUGGAGCAUGUGGUUUAAUUCGAUGAUACGCGAGGAACCUUACCAGGGCUUAAAUGUAGUGGGACAGGUCUAGAGAUAGACCCUUCUUCGGACUCAUUACAAGGUGCUGCAUGGUUGUCGUCAGCUCGUGCCGUGAGGUGUCAGGUUAAGUCCUAUAACGAGCGCAACCCCUAUCGUUAGUUGCCAGCGAGUAAUGUCGGGAACUCUAACGAAACUGCCAGUGCAAACUGUGAGGAAGGUGGGGAUGACGUCAAAUCAUCACGGCCCUUACGUCCUGGGCUACACACGUGCUACAAUGGCCGGUACAGAGAGCAGCCACUUCGCAAGAAGGAGCGAAUCUAUUAAAACCGGUCUCAGUUCGGAUUGUUCUCUGCAACUCGAGAGCAUGAAGUUGGAAUC
rnacentral:rRNA from 1 species